rnacentral:pre_miRNA from 1 species
CCUGCCUAACUGGGUUAGGGCCCUGGCUCCAUCUCCUUUAGGAAAACCUUCUGUGGGGAGUGGGGCUUUGACCCUAACCCAGCUGGGCUGU